GGGUUGUGAGGUUAAGCGACUAAGCGUACACGGUGGAUGCCCUGGCAGUCAGAGGCGAUGAAGGACGUGCUAAUCUGCGAAAAGCGUCGGUAAGGUGAUAUGAACCGUUAUAACCGGCGAUGUCCGAAUGGGGAAACCCAGUGCAAUUCGUUGCACUAUCGUUAACUGAAUACAUAGGUUAACGAGGCGAACCGGGGGCACUGAAACAUCUAAGUACCCUGAAUGGGAAAAGAACCUCAACCGAGAUUCCCCCAUAGUAGCGGCGAGCGAACGGGGAGCAGCCCAGAGUCUGAAUCAGCUUGUGUGUUAGUGGAACGGUCUGGAAAGUCCGACGGUACAGGGUGAUAGUCCCGUACACCAAAAUGCACAGGGGUGAACUCGAAGAGUAGGGCGGGACACGUGAAACCUGUCUGAAUAUGGGGGGACCAUCCUCCAAGGCUAAAUACUCCUGACUGACCGAUAGUGAACCAGUACCGUGAGGGAAAGGCGAAAAGAACCCCGGCGAGGGGAGUGAAAAAACCUGAAACCGUGUACGUACAAGCAGUGGGAGCACCUUCGGGUGUGACUGCGUACCUUUUGUAUAAUGGGUCAGCGACUUAUAUUCUGUAGCAAGGUUAACCGUAUAGGGGAGCCGCAGGGAAACCGAGUCUUAACUGGGCGUUAAGUUGCAGGGUAUAGACCCGAAACCCGGUGAUCUAGCCAUGGGCAGGUUGAAGGUUGGGUAACACUAACUGGAGGACCGAACCGACUAAUGUUGAAAAAUUAGCGGAUGACUUGUGGCUGGGGGUGAAAGGCCAAUCAAACCGGGAGAUAGCUGGUUCUCCCCGAAAGCUAUUUAGGUAGCGCCUCGUGAACUCAUCUUCGGGGGUAGAGCACUGUUUCGGCUAGGGGGUCAUCCCGACUUACCAACCCGAUGCAAACUACGAAUACCGAAGAAUGUUAUCACGGGAGACACACGGCGGGUGCUAACGUCCGUCGUGAAGAGGGAAACAACCCAGACCGCCAGCUAAGGUCCCAAAGUCAUGGUUAAGUGGGAAACGAUGUGGGAAGGCACAGACAGCCAGGAUGUUGGCUUAGAAGCAGCCAUCAUUUAAAGAAAGCGUAAUAGCUCACUGGUCGAGUCGGCCUGCGCGGAAGAUGUAACGGGGCUAAACCAUGCACCGAAGCUGCGGCAGCGACACUAUGUGUUGUUGGGUAGGGGAGCGUUCUGUAAGCCUGCGAAGGUGUGCUGUGAGGCAUGCUGGAGGUAUCAGAAGUGCGAAUGCUGACAUAAGUAACGAUAAAGCGGGUGAAAAGCCCGCUCGCCGGAAGACCAAGGGUUCCUGUCCAACGUUAAUCGGGGCAGGGUGAGUCGACCCCUAAGGCGAGGCCGAAAGGCGUAGUCGAUGGGAAACAGGUUAAUAUUCCUGUACUUGGUGUUACUGCGAAGGGGGGACGGAGAAGGCUAUGUUAGCCGGGCGACGGUUGUCCCGGUUUAAGCAUGUAGGCUGGUUGUCCAGGCAAAUCCGGAUAAUCAAGGCUGAGGUGUGAUGACGAGGCACUACGGUGCUGAAGUAACAAAUGCCCUGCUUCCAGGAAAAGCCUCUAAGCAUCAGGUAACAUCAAAUCGUACCCCAAACCGACACAGGUGGUCAGGUAGAGAAUACCAAGGCGCUUGAGAGAACUCGGGUGAAGGAACUAGGCAAAAUGGUGCCGUAACUUCGGGAGAAGGCACGCUGGUGUGUAGGUGAAGUCCCUGCGGAUGGAGCUGAGACCAGUCGAAGAUACCAGCUGGCUGCAACUGUUUAUUAAAAACACAGCACUGUGCAAACACGAAAGUGGACGUAUACGGUGUGACGCCUGCCCGGUGCCGGAAGGUUAAUUGAUGGGGUUAUCCGUAAGGAGAAGCUCUUGAUCGAAGCCCCGGUAAACGGCGGCCGUAACUAUAACGGUCCUAAGGUAGCGAAAUUCCUUGUCGGGUAAGUUCCCUGCACGAAUGGCGUAAUGAUGGCCAGGCUGUCUCCACCCGAGACUCAGUGAAAUUGAACUCGCUGUGAAGAUGCAGUGUACCCGCGGCAAGACGGAAAGACCCCGUGAACCUUUACUAUAGCUUGACACUGAACAUUGAGCCUUGAUGUGUAGGAUAGGUGGGAGGCUUUGAAGCGUGGACGCCAGUCUGCGUGGAGCCAACCUUGAAAUACCACCCUUUAAUGUUUGAUGUUCUAACGUUGGCCCCUGACCGGGGUUGCGGACAGUGUCUGGUGGGUAGUUUGACUGGGGCGGUCUCCUCCCAAAGCGUAACGGAGGAGCACGAAGGUUAGCUAAUCCUGGUCGGACAUCAGGAGGUUAGUGCAAUGGCAUAAGCUAGCUUGACUGCGAGCGUGACGGCGCGAGCAGGUGCGAAAGCAGGUCAUAGUGAUCCGGUGGUUCUGAAUGGAAGGGCCAUCGCUCAACGGAUAAAAGGUACUCCGGGGAUAACAGGCUGAUACCGCCCAAGAGUUCAUAUCGACGGCGGUGUUUGGCACCUCGAUGUCGGCUCAUCACAUCCUGGGGCUGAAGUAGGUCCCAAGGGUAUGGCUGUUCGCCAUUUAAAGUGGUACGCGAGCUGGGUUUAGAACGUCGUGAGACAGUUCGGUCCCUAUCUGCCGUGGGCGCUGGAGAAUUGAGGGGGGCUGCUCCUAGUACGAGAGGACCGGAGUGGACGCAUCACUGGUGUUCGGGUUGUCAUGCCAAUGGCACUGCCCGGUAGCUAAAUGCGGAAGAGAUAAGUGCUGAAAGCAUCUAAGCACGAAACUUGCCCCGAGAUGAGUUCUCCCUGAGACUUUAAGUCUCCUGAAGGAACGUUAAAGACGAUGACGUUGAUAGGCCGGGUGUGUAAGCGCAGCGAUGCGUUGAGCUAACCGGUACUAAUGAACCGUGAGGCUUAACCUUACAACGCCGAAG
rnacentral:rRNA from 1 species